rnacentral:rRNA from 1 species
AACUUCGGUUAUAAGAUCCCUCAAAGAUGAUGAGGUUAAUAGGUUCGAGGUGGAAGCAUGGUGACAUGUGGAGCUGACGAAUACUAAUCGAUCGAAGACUUAAUCAAA